ACAAAUUUGACAUCUUAACUUUGAAUACUUAUAUCUCCUUCACAAAACUAAAAAUUACACAAAUUCUUCAUCAAAAUUAUACCUCAAAUCUUGAACUUGCUGAUCUUAGCCUUCAAAGCUCAAAUGCCUCCAAAAGUAAAACCCUAAUCUCUAAUAAGGCUUCGCGUAGCCUCUUUAAAGCAUAUUGGGUAUGACAUUCGAUCAAUAGGGAUGAAGGUCUUCACCCCUUGCCUUCAUCCAAUCAUAUCUUGUUUUCAUACUUUCCAAUAAGCCUCUCAAUAGUUUAGACUUUCAUCUUUAAACUCCAACC
rnacentral:lncRNA from 1 species